UUCUAUGUUUUCAGUUUUAUUAUUUCAAGACACAGUUAAAGGAAGGGACUCUUAGGGGCUUCUUUCUAGAAGGGAGCUCAGCAGUGAGUGCUGCUGGGAGGGGCUGGGGAAGGAGCAUCACCCUGGCUCCCAGCUCCCUGUUAUUUGGUCUCAGAGAAAAGACAAUAAGCUGGUAGGGACACCUUGGAGCUUUGCUUCGGAAGUGCGACUGAGAGUGAAGAGAGCUAAGGGAGACUUUCUGAGAAUUGCCAACAUGGCUCUCCAGAGUGUCUGAAACUGCCCUGCUCACCCCAAAAGCAGACUGAAUCAUAGGAUCUGAGAGAUCUGAUGGGGCUGUGGGGAUGGCUUUGUCCGAGCUCUCUCCAGGUAAUGUAGUGCAGGUGUAAAGAGCAAAUGAUCUGAAGAUGGAAAUCCCUGGAUUGAAAUGAUGCCUCCAUAUUUACCAUGAUAUACUCUUAGGUAUCUGGCACCCUUCUUCACACCCAGCACUUAAAGCUCAGUUCAUGUCAACCUAGACUUGAACCCAGAUUAGGGGGCAAACAACCUCAUCAGAGCGCUUUGUGUCUUCAUCAGCUAAGCUGGGCCCAGAUGCACUCAGGAACCUGGCAGAGCUCCUUCUCGUUGACUUGGCACCGCAGGAAAACAACGGUGUUGAACACUUCUUUCCCCCAAAGGCUGCAGACACUGCCUUUCACAAUGCGGAGCAGACACCACACAUCCAGACAAGUUCCUAAUUAAUGACGCAUAAUCAGUGUCUUUCAAAUGUGCAUUUGUUGUUCUCUGCCCAACUAAUUAACUGCACUGAACAUUCCAUGGUUGAAACUGGAGCAUGGGUUAUCUGAAAAGCCCGUUAGAACCAGCCCAGGGUCAGAGCUCAGAAGAUGCAAAAGUUCUGACCAGGUUACCACUGGGCUGAAGGAGUCUUAACAUCCCUACUUUCCCUCUCCAAAGCUCUCUGUAAGUAGGACCACAGACACUUUCUACCUCUUAAGGUUAUCAUAACCGGGGCACUCAUGAUCAUCUAAGGGAAAGUGCUCUGAAAGGUGUAGGGAGCUACAGAAAUGCACGUGAUGAUCACUCCUGGCAAUCGCUGUAAGGUGGGCAAUCUUUUCUAGGUGGGAAGGGUCAUCAACCUUAGGCAAAAAUGAUGUGUAUAUGUGCCUUCGAAGGUGUAGGCUUUGCACGUAAAAGCUCAUGUGAUCCUCAUGCCCACCCAUACCCAUGAGGAAAAUAAAACUCCUUUGAGGAGCUCCGAAGGGGCUCACCCA